CGGAGUUAUAACUCAAAAUUUGCACAUUCUUUCAAAUUUAUCAAUUUUUGUUCAAGAUAUCUUCCAAGUUUUCUAAUUAAAAAUUGAUAAGAAAUAUACAAGUUAAUAAUUUGUAGUUUUAGGUAAUUCUGCUGAAAUACAUUUGGUUAUUCUAUUUUGGCCGAAAUAAUUUUGUCUAAAAUACGGUUCGGCUGUUUUAUAGCCCCCUGGUUACUUGAGGCAUCUGCUUAAUUUAGGUGUUCAUUAAUCAACUUAAUAUUUGCCAAGUUCGUUUAUUAUCAAAUUUGUUGGUUUAAAUAACUUAAGGAAAAAUUAAUUUUUUAUUCAUUU